GGAGAGGUACCCAAGUGGCUGAAGGGGCUGGUUUGCUAAACCGGUAGACCGGCGAAAGCUGGUGCGAGGGUUCGAAUCCCUCCCUCUCCGCCA
rnacentral:tRNA from 1 species